ACCAGUAUGGUGUAGUGGUUUGAGUGUUGGACUACAACUCUGAAGACCAGGGUUUGAUUCCCAGCUCAGCCA